rnacentral:rRNA from 1 species
GACGAACGCUGGCGGCGUGCUUAACACAUGCAAGUCGAACGGAAAGGCCCUGCUUUUGUGGGGUGCUCGAGUGGCGAACGGGUGAGUAACACGUGAGUAACCUGCCCUUGACUUUGGGAUAACUUCAGGAAACUGGGGCUAAUACCGGAUAGGAGCUCCUGCUGCAUGGUGGGGGUUGGAAAGUUUCGGCGGUUGGGGAUGGACUCGCGGCUUAUCAGCUUGUUGGUGGGGUAGUGGCUUACCAAGGCUUUGACGGGUAGCCGGCCUGUGAGGGUGACCGGCCACAUGGGGACUGAGAUACGGACCAGACGGCUACGGGAGGCAGCAGUGGGGAAUAUUGCACAAUGGGAGGAAGCCUGAUGCAGCAACGCCGCGUGCGGGAUGACGGCCUUCGGGUUGUAAACCGCUUUCGACUGUGACGAAGCGUGAGUGACGGUAAUGGGUAAAGAAGCACCGGCUAACUACGUG